GCCGGAAUAGCUCAAGUGGGAGAGCGUUAGACUGAAGUUGUUUACGCAAAAAUCAUCUAAAUGCCCCCGGUUCAAUCCCGCGUUCCGGCA
rnacentral:tRNA from 1 species